AACCAAAAAGAAAUCCUGGAGCUGAAAAAUUGAAUGAAUAAAAUUUCAAUACUGAGAGCUUCAACAGAUUAGAUCAAGGAGAUGAAAGAAUCUGUAGACUUGAAGACAUGUCUCUUGAAAUAGCCCAGUCAGAGGAAAAAUAAACAAUAAAAGAAGUCAAGACAGUCUACAGGAUUUAUGACAUACCAUUAAAUGAACAAAUAUUCCCAUCAUGAAUUCCAGAAAGAGACAGAGAAAGGCACAGAUGUCUUAUUUAAUGAAAUAUUUGCUGAAAGUUUCCCAAGUCUUAGGAGAGACAUGGACAUCCAGAUCCAUGAAACUCAAAAGUACCAAACAGGUUCAACACAGAGGUCUUCACCAAGGCACAUUAUAAUCAAAAUUUCAAAAGAAUUUUAAAAGCAGCAAGACAAAAGCAUCAAGCAUCAUCAUACAAGGGAAUCUCCAGUAGACUAUUAGUGGAUUGCUCAGGAGAAACCUUGCAGGCCAGGAGAGAAUGAGAUGAUAUAUUCAAAGCACUAAAAGAAAAAAGUCUACCAGAUAAGAAUGUCAUAAACAGCAAAACUGUCCUUUAGAAAUGAAGAAUAGAGUUUUUCCCAGACAAGCAAGAGCUGAGGGAAUUAAGGGAAUUCAUCACCACUAGACCUGCUUUACAAAAAAUGCUUAAGAGAGUUCUUCAAUCAGAAAUAGAAGUGCGGGGACAAAACUCCGGCGACAGGGAGUGACACAAAUAAACCCCUGGACCCUCGUUCCCCCAGCUCUAAGGGCCGCGAUGUUGUACCUAGAGGACUAUCUGGAAAUGACUGAGCAGCUUCCAAUGGACCUGCGGGACCGCUUCACCGAGAUGCGCGAGAUGGAUCUGCAGGUGCAAAAUGCAAUGGAUCAGCUGGAACAAAGAGUCAGUGAAUUCUUUAUGAAUGCAAAGAAAAAUAAACCUGAGUGGAGAGAAGAACAAAUGGCAUCCAUCAAAAAAGACUACUAUAAAGCCUUGGAAGAUGCAGAUGAGAAGGUGCAGUUGGCAAACCAGAUAUAUGACUUGCAACACCUUUAAAAGAUUGAAAUCACCAAGAAGACAGAUACAAUAUGCAAUAUUUCUCUAAUAGAUGUAAUUAUGGUGCUCUUUUUGUUUUUUUAUGUGAAGCAUCUUCUAAAAUGCGUACUUUAGGAAAUAUUCUGUUUUUGCCUUAAAGGAAGUUAAAGCAGAAAACAAAUGCUCACUUUUGGUUAACUUUAGUAUAUAGAGUUCAUUUCUUAUUUGUGCAGUCUUUCCUGGGUAUGGCUUUAUUACUGAACAAGUACAUAUAAAUAAAAUGUCAUUGGUUGAGCAGGACACAAGAUAAAAUGUAUAUGCCUCAUAUGGUAUAAAUUAUAAAUACUCAUACCAAACUAGAAAACAUUUGUCAUGUAAAGCCAUUGAAAAUGUUUAGUUGUCUUUAUAUAGUGAAAAUAUCUUAAUGACUAUAAUAACGUAGGCUCUUUAUUCUAGAAAACAUUUUGUAAAAGACACGGCCUAAAGAAAGGUAUAGUAGGCUGUAGCUUGAUUUACUGUGUAAUAAACAAAUAAGAAGUUUUUAAUUGUGUUAGUCUUGAGUUAUGUCUGUAAACGUAGAAAAAGGCAUUUAUGUUUGAAUCUAAGACAAAUUUGUUUAAUAACAUUCUUACUCCUGUUUAAUGACUAUGUAUCAGUCUUUAUUUAGA